CAGUCGCCGCGGUAAUACGUAGGGUGCGAGCGUUAAUCGGAAUUACUGGGCGUAAAGCGUGCGCAGGCGGUUCGUUAAGACAGAUGUGAAAUCCCCGGGCUUAACCUGGGAACUGCAUUUGUGACUGGCGAGCUAGAGUAUGGCAGAGGGGGGUAGAAUUCCACGUGUAGCGGUGAAAUGCGUAGAGAUGUGGAGGAAUACCGAUGGCGAAGGCAGCCCCCUGGGCCAAUACUGACGCUCAUGCACGAAAGCGUGGGGAGCAAACAGGAUUAGAUACCCGAGUAGUCCCUGUCUCUUAUAC
rnacentral:rRNA from 1 species